GGGGCCUACGGGGCGCAGCAGUAGGGAAUCUUCGGCAAUGGGCGAAAGCCUGACCGAGCAACGCCGCGUGAAUGAAGAAGGCCUUCGGGUUGUAAAAUUCUGUUAUAAGGGAAGAAAGGUGAUAGGAGGAAAUGACUAUCAAUUGACGGUACCUUAUGAGAAAGCCACGGCUAACUACGUGCCAGCAGCCGCGGUAAUACGGAGGGUGCGAGCGUUAAUCGGAAUUACUGGGCGUAAAGCGCUCGUAGGCGGUAUGUCAAGUCGAGGGUGAAAUCCCCGCGCUCAACGUGGGAACUGCCUUUGAA
rnacentral:rRNA from 1 species